ACGUCCCUACAAUGGAAUACUUCUCAUCAAUAAGAUGGAUGAACUACUGAUACAAGCAGCGGCGUGGAUGAAUCUCAAAAGCAUUACGGUUACUGUUUGUUGGAGCAUUACCUAGGGGAAGAUGCUUGCCAAAGGGAGGAAGAAUGGCCGGGGAGCCUCCGGCUUCAUCAUUACUGCUGAGGUGUCACUCUCAUCCCCAUCUCAGGAAAAGCAAGGCCCCUUUGCAAGGGUGCCGUUGGGUGCGAAUGUCCAGUGCCAGUGGUUAUGAGCAGAUGGGACUAAUAAUAGUUCCUACUUCACAGAGUCAAUUUGAGGAUUAACAAGAAAAUCCACGUAAAAUAGCACAACGCUUGGCA